UACGAAGGGGGCUAGCGUUGCUCGGAAUCACUGGGCGUAAAGGGCGCGUAGGCGGGCUAUCAAGUCUGGGGUGAAAUCCCACGGCUCAACCGUGGAACUGCCUUAGAUACUGACGGCCUUGAGGAAGGUAGGGGCAUGCGGAACUGUAGGUGGAGCGGUGAAAUGCGUUGAUAUCUACAGGAACUCCGGUGGCGAAAGCGGCGUGCUGGACCGUUUCUGACGCUGAGGCGCGAAAGCUAGGGGAGCAAACGGG
rnacentral:rRNA from 1 species